rnacentral:rRNA from 1 species
UGAAGGAAAGGUGAAAAGGACCCCGGGAGGGGAGUGAAAGAGAACCUGAAACCCUAUGUUUACAAGCUGUGGGAGCGCGCAAGCGCAACCGCGUACUUUUUGUAGAACGGUCCGGCGAGUUGCCGGUGCUGGCAAGGUUAAGCGAUCAAGUCGUGGAGCCGCAGGGAAACCAAGCCUAAAUAGGGCCAAAGUCAGCACAGGCAGACCCGAAACCGGGUGAUCUACCCAUGUCCAGGAUGAAGCGGGAGUAAAAUCCCGUGGAGGUCCGAACGCACAUCCGUUGAAAAGGGUGGCGAUGAGGUGUGGGUAGGGGAGAAAUUCCAAUCGAACCCGGAGAUAGCUGGUUCUCCUCGAAAUAGCUUUAGGGCUAGCCUCGGUGCAAUCUGCUGGAGGUAGGGCACUGAAUUCCCGCGGGGGCGUCAAAGCCUACCAAAGGAUAUCAAACUGCGAAUGCCAGACAGAUGGUCACCGGGAGUCAGACCACACGAGAUAAGUUGGGUGGUCAAAAGGGAAAGAGCCCAGACCUGCAGCUAAGGUCCCAAAGUGCGUGUUAAGUGGAAAAGGAUGUGGGAUCUCGAAGACAACUAGGAUGUUGGCUCAGAAGCAGCCAUACAUUCAAAGAGUGCGUAAUAGCUCACUAGUCGAGAGGUCCUGCGCCGAAAAUGAACCGGGGCUAAACACGACACCGAAGCUCAGGAAUCCGAAAGGAUUGGUAGAGGAGCAUUGCUGAAGCGACGAAGCAGUACCGAAAGGAGCUGUGGAGUUUCAGGAAGAGAGAAUGCCGGAAUGAGUAGCGAGAGAAAGGUGAGAAUCCUUUCGGCCGAAUAUCCAAGGUUUCCAGGGUAAAGCUGAUCUGCCCUGGGUAAGUCGGGGCCUAAGGCGAGGCAGAAAUGCGUAGUCGAUGGACAGCAGGUUGAGAUUCCUGCACCCGUAAUGAACAGAACUGUAGUGACACGGAAGGUAAGACAGAGCCGGGAAUGAGAAAACCGGUGCAAGCACAAUAGAUGUGCGGGAGGAAAAACCCCCGCAUAAGUCGAAGGUGUGAUGCGGACCGAAAAAGAGUAGGGAAGCUGUUAAGCAAGCCGUCAAGAAAAGCUGCUAUUGUUUCAUUAUGGCCCGUACCGUAAACCGACACAGGUGGAUGGGGAGAGAAUCCUAAGGCCGGCGGAAGAAGUAUUGUUAAGGAACUCGGCAAAAUGACCCCGUAACUUCGGGAGAAGGGGUGCCUGCGAGAGCAGGCCGCAGAGAAGAGGCCCAAGCAACUGUUUAGCAAAAACACAGGUCUAUGCAAAACCGAAAGGUGAGGUAUAUGGGCUGACGCCUGCCCGGUGCUGGAAGGUUAAGGGGAGUGGUCAGGAAACGAAGCCACGAACUUAAGCCCCAGUAAACGGCGGCCGUAACUAUAACGGUCCUAAGGUAGCGAAAUUCCUUGUCGGGUAAGUUCCGACCCGCACGAAAGGCGUAAUGAUUUGGGCGCUGUCUCGACAAUGCAUCCGGUGAAAUUGAAGUACCAGUGAAGAUGCUGGUUACCUGCGCCAGGACGGAAAGACCCCAUGGAGCUUUACUCCAGCUUGAUACUGGGACCCGGUAUUGCAUGUACAGGAUAGGUGGGAGGCUAGGAAAUGUGGACGCCAGUCUGCAUGGAGCCGCUGUUGGGAUACCACCCUUGUGGUGCUGGGUUUCUAACCAGAGGCCGUGAACCGGUCUGGGGACAAUGUCAGGUGGGGAGUUUGACUGGGGCGGUCGCCUCCGAAAGGGUAUCGGAGGCGCCCAAAGGUUCCCUCAGAAUGGUUGGAAACCAUUCGAAGAGUGCAAAGGCAGAAGGGAGCUUGACUGCGACACCGACGG